AUGCCUGGGUCCUCGGCUGUGUCCCCGUGCCUGUUCCCUGCCCUGUCGUCAGCACGGUGUGCGCUCUGGUUUCCAGCGGCGGCCCUCGGUCCGUGGUUCUCUCUCUCGGCCGCUGCCCAGCCCGUCCGCCACCGUGCGGGUGGGCCCGGGCUGCGUGUGCAGAUGCCCGUCCGUCACUCUUGGCUGUGCCGUCUCCUGCAGCGUUCAUUUUCUUUUUCUUCUCUCCCGAAUGAGACCGACGCCAGCUUAAGGAAGAAAUCACUCGUUCGCGGAGCUGUCAGUGUCGGCACUGGAGCCGCCUGGAGUCGAUUAGAGAGGCGCGGAACUGCUCCUGCCGGCGGAGGGCGGAAAGCAGGGAGUGGGAGCCGGGCCGGGUGUCCUGGCCCGGCAGGGAGGAAGCGGCUCUGGUGCAGGCCCAGCCCCCUCUGCCGCCUCCCCGGACAAGGCCAGCGCUCAGGUCAGAGGUGCAGGCGCGUGCGCUGGCCGCAGAGCGGACGGAGUUCUCAGAGCUCAGUCGGGAUACAAGCCGUGUCCACGUGUUCAUCUAGAACAGCGAGAUCCACGCCGAGCCCGUGUGGACAGAGAGAGACGCUUCUGUGGGUUCAGGACCCUGCCCUGCCCACCAGGCUGCCCUCCAGGGUCCACGGCUCGCACUGCGCCCGGCUGGGGCUGGCGUCGGGGGCGGUGUCUGAACCAUCCCAGUGGGCUCAGAGCGGGAGAGGCGACUCGACAGCUCCUACCGGUCAGGUGCCACCACGCCUUCCGAUACCCACGACGGCCGCCAGGUGCCACCACGCCUUCUGAUACCCACGACGGCCGGCAGGUGCCACCACGCCUUCUGAUACCCACGAAGGCCAUUGCAUUUUUCCUUUCUAUUUAGAAGUGUGUGUCCUUUAGGGGCCGGCGCUGUGGCGCAGUGGGUUAAUGCCCUGGCCUGAAGCGCAGGCAUCCCAUAUGGGCACUGGUUCAAGUCCCAGCUGCUCCACUUCCGAUCCAGCUCUCUGCUGUGGCCUGGGAAAGCAGUGGAGGAUGGCCAGAGUCCUUGGGCCCCUGCACCCUUGUGGGAGACCCGGAAGAAGCUCCUGGCUCCUGGCUUAGGAUCAGCAGAGCUCCAGCCAUGUGGACAAUUGAGGAGUGAACCAGCGGAUGGAAGACCUCUCUCUCUCUCUCUCUCUCUCUCUAACUCUGGCUUUCAAAUAAAUAUAGAAAUCAUAAAAAAAGAAUUGCGUGU
rnacentral:lncRNA from 1 species